rnacentral:tmRNA from 1 species
GGGGCUGCAAUGGUUUCGACGGGGCAUGAGGAGGGUGACUGAAGCCUGCUCGGUGAGAGCAAACCCGUAACUGCGAACAACAUCGUUCGUUUCUCCCGUCACGCAGCCCCUGUUGCUGCCUGACCCUUAGGGGAGAUGGGGUGAAGUCAGCCUUAUCACCCAAAUGACUCAUGGGGGCUGGAAGGCCCCUCAAACC